rnacentral:rRNA from 1 species
UACGUAGGCCCCGAGCGUUGUCCGGAUUUAUUGGGCGUAAAGCGAGCGCAGGUGGUUUAUUAAGUCUGGUGUAAAAGGCAGUGGCUCAACCAUUGUAUGCAUUGGAAACUGGUAGACUUGAGUGCAGGAGAGGAGAGUGGAACUCCAUGUGUAGCGGUGAAAUGCGUAGAUAUAUGGAGGAACACCGGUGGCGAAAGCGGCUCUCUGGCCUGUAACUGACACUGAGGCUCGAAAGCGUGGGGAGCAAACAGG